GCCGGGGUGGUGGAAUUGGUAGACACGCAAGCUUGAGGUGCUUGUGGGCGUAAGUCUGUAGGGGUUCGAGUCCCCUCCUCGGCA
rnacentral:tRNA from 1 species